rnacentral:rRNA from 1 species
CCUACGGGAGGCAGCAGUGGGGAAUAUUGCACAAUGGGGGACACCCUGAUGCAGCGACGACGCGUGAGUGAAGAAGUAUUUCGGUAUGUAAAGCUCUAUCAGCAGGGAAGAAAAUGACGGUACCUGAUUAAGAAGCCCCGGCUAACGACGUGCCAGCAGCCGCGGUAAUACGUAGGGGGCAAGCGUUAUCCGGAUUUACUGGGUGUAAAGGGAGCGUAGACGGCAGCACAAGUCUGGAGUGAAAUGCUGGGGCUUAACCCCGGGACUGCAUUUGAAACUGUGCAGCUAGAGUGUAGGAGAGGUAAGUGGAAUUCCUAGUGUAGCGGUGAAAUGCGGAGAUAUUAGGAGGAACACCAGUGGCGAAGGCGGCUUACUGGACUGUAACUGACGUUGAGGCUCGAAAGCGUGGGGAGCAAACAGGAUUAGAUACCCCGGUAGUC